rfam:Gossypium hirsutum cultivar TM-1 unplaced genomic scaffold scaffold257.1, whole genome shotgun sequence
CCUGAGGAAGCGUUUUGCCUAGUGGACAGAAAUCGCUCCCACAAGGGCGCGCUUUAUGUCUAAGUAGGCAAAACGCUUCCUCAAGG